rnacentral:rRNA from 1 species
AGCGAACGCUGGCGGCAGGCCUAACACAUGCAAGUCGAACGAACUCUUCGGAGUUAGUGGCGGACGGGUGAGUAACACGUGGGAACGUGCCUUUAGGUUCGGAAUAACUCAGGGAAACUUGUGCUAAUACCGAAUGUGCCCUUCGGGGGAAAGAUUUAUCGCCUUUAGAGCGGCCCGCGUCUGAUUAGCUAGUUGGUGAGGUAAAGGCUAACCAAGGCGACGAUCAGUAGCUGGUCUGAGAGGAUGAUCAGCCACAUUGGGACUGAGACACGGCCCAAACUCCUACGGGAGGGAGCAGUAGGGAAUCUUGCGCAAUGGGCGAAAGCCUGACGCAGCCAUGCCGCGUGAAUGAUGAAGGUCUUAGGAUUGUAAAAUUCUUUCACCGGGGACGAUAAUGACGGUACCCGGAGAAGAAGCCCCGGCUAACUUCGUG